CAUAGGUUUGGUCCUAGCCUUUCCAUUAGUUAUUAAUAAACUUACACAUGCAAGAAUCCUCGUCCCAGUGAAAAUGCCCUCUAUACCACUAACGGUAAAAAGGAGCUGGUAUCAAGCACACUAAAAGUAGCUCAAAACACCUUGCUCAGCCACGCCCCCACGGGAAACAGCAGUGAUAAAAAUUAAGCAAUAAACGAAAGUCUGACUAAGUUAUAUUAUUGAGGACUGGUAAAUCUCGUGCCAGCCACCGCGGUCAUACGAUUAGGUCAAAUUAAUGGACAUCCGGCGUAAAGAGUGUUUUAGAAAAUGAAAACAAAUUAAUAAAGUUAAACUCUAACUAAGCUGUAAAAAGCCCUAGUCACUGUAAAAUAAAAUACGAAAGUAACUUUAAUAGAUCUGACCACACUAUAGCUAGGACCCAAACUGGGAUUAGAUACCCCACUAUGCCUAGCCCUAAACAUAAAAAAUUUAAAACAAAAUUAUUCGCCAGAGUACUACCAGCAAAAGCUAGAAACUCAAAGGACUUGGCGGUGCCUUAUAUCCCUCUAGAGGAGCCUGUUCUAUAAUCGAUAAACCCCGAUUCACCUUACCAAUCUUUGCCAAAUCAGCCUAUAUACCGCCAUCUUCAGCAAACCCUAAAAAGGAAGCACAGUAAGCAUAAGUAUCAACAUAAAAACGUUAGGUCAAGGUGUAGCCUAUAGAUUGGAAAGAAAUGGGCUACAUUUCCCCAAAUUGGGGAAAUAAUAUUCUACGAAAACUCAUGUGAAAUCAAGAGUUAAAGGUGGAUUUAGCAGUAAAUUAAGAAUAGAGUGCUUAAUUGAAUAAGGCCAUGAGGCACGCACACACCGCCCGUCACCCUCCUCAAAUAAGAAUAUUAUCAAUUACAUAAGCCUAUAAAUAUUAAAUUAUAAGAGGAGAUAAGUCGUAACAAGGUAAGUGUACUGGAAAGUGCACUUGGAAAAC
rnacentral:ncRNA from 1 species